GCUACUUGCAUCCGCAAACAUGAUUUUCAGGCCAUCAAACGGCCCCAUAAUGAAGAUGUAAAGUUUGUCAAUGCGUUCAAAUCGUUCCCUUUAGUGGAGAAGUGCUGAAGUUUGCCAACGUUUGGAACACAGUCUUGAGGUUCUUGGAGUUGCAGUCUUGGUUCUUGGAGUUGCUGCAAUAGAAGAAAGGAAGGUGUUCCUGAAACAAUCGAUCUGCUUCGGAAGGCUGGAAUCAACUUUUGGAUGCUUACUGUUGAUAAACAAAAUACAGCCAUUCAGAUAGCGCUAGGGCUGCACAACGAGUCGAGCUACUCGAGCUCGACUCGUAAGCACAUUCGAGCUGCUUAUUUAGUUAAACGAGUCGAGCUCGAGUUGACAAGCCGACUCGUAGCUCG